GUACACGCUGUGACUAGCAUAUCAAUAAGCGGAGGAAAAGAAACUAACAAGGAUUCCCCUAGUAACGGCGAGUGAAGCGGGAAGAGCUCAAAUUUGAAAUCUUAAAGGGUUUCCCUUUACGAAUUGUAGUUUAAAGAAGUGUUUUCUGUUGAGGUUUUGGUAAAAGUUCUUUGGAAUAGGACAUCAUAGAGGGUGAGAAUCCCGUAUUUGACCUUUACUUUCAACUUUGUGAUACACUUUCAAAGAGUCGGAUUGUUUGGGAAUGCAGUCCAAAAUGGGUGGUAAAUUUCAUCUAAAGCUAAAUAUUGGCGAGAGACCGAUAGCGAACAAGUACCGUGAGGGAAAGAUGAAGAGAACUUUGAAAAGAGAGUUAAACAGUACGUGAAAUUGUCAAAAGGGAAGCGUUUGACACCAGUGUUGUUUUUCUGAAAAUCAAUUAAAGAACUGUUUAUGCUAAGUUGUUUAGACUUUAUCAGCUAACUGUUUAGUUUUGAGCUUUUCUUUAAUGCACUUUUCAGUUAACAAGUCAAUAUCAAUUUCUUUUGCUGUAAAAAAGCUUGAGGAAGGUGGCUUGAGAUUCGUCUUAAGUGUUUAUAGCCUCUUGCCUAUGCAGUCGGAGAGAUUGAGGUCUGCAGCGUAGAUCCUUCGGGGCUAAAUGCAUUUGUGCUAAGUUAUAGCAUUUUAUAGACAACUUGUUGACUAUGAUUUGUCUUGUAGCUUACUCGCUUAUGUUAUUUUACCUACGCUUAGGAUGUUGAAGAUGUAGCACAUCAU
rnacentral:rRNA from 1 species